CCGCCCACCGGCAGACCCGGGGCCCCUCAAUCCCGCCAGGCGGCCGCAGACCUGCGUGAAGCCCAGCUUGAUGCGGCGUUGCUUGAAGGUGCGGGCGAACUGCUCCAGCUCCUCCAGAUGUAUUUGUUAAUACAAGAGAGAGGAGAAAGAGAACCAGAGCCCUGUUUGAGCACCUGCUACGCUGGAGACUGAAGCCAGAAGUCUCAUACUUUCAAGUCUAACACAAGCCACUGUGCCAUCUCCGUGGUCAAAGCAUUAAAAAAAUGUUUUUCAUCGAACAAAUUGAUGAAGAGAGCAACUGGGAGUCCUAAUAAAGAUGUAACAGCUCUCCCUC